GGGAGCCGCCUCCUAGCAGGCAGCACCACAGGUGCCCUGGCUGUGGCUGUGGCCCAGCCCACGGAUGUGGUAAAGGUCCGAUUCCAAGCUCAGGCCCGGGCUGGAGGUGGUCGGAGAUACCAAAGCACCGUCAAUGCCUACAAGACCAUUGCCCGAGAGGAAGGGUUCCGGGGCCUCUGGAAAGGGACCUCUCCCAAUGUUGCUCGUAAUGCCAUUGUCAACUGUGCUGAGCUGGUGACCUAUGACCUCAUCAAGGAUGCCCUCCUGAAAGCCAACCUCAUGACAGGCUUCUGCACCACUGUCAUCGCCUCCCCUGUAGACGUGGUCAAGACGAGAUACAUGAACUCUGCCCUGGGCCAGUACAGUAGCGCUGGCCACUGUGCCCUUAC
rnacentral:lncRNA from 1 species